rnacentral:rRNA from 1 species
CCUACGGGUGGCAGCAGUGAGGAAUAUUGGUCAAUGGACUAGAGUCUGAACCAGCCAAGUAGCGUGAAGGAUGACUGCCCUAUGGGUUGUAAACUUCUUUUAUCUGGGAAUAAAACAGGGUAUGCAUACCCUCUUGUAUGUACCAUAUGAAUAAGUAUCGGCUAACUCCGUGCCAGCAGCCGCGGUAAUACGGAGGAUCCGAGGGUUAUCAGGAUUUAUUGGGGUUAAAGGGCGCGUAGGUCGAGUUGUAUGUCAGUUGUGAAAGUUUGCGGCUCAACCGUAAAAUUGCAGUUGACCCUGGCAUUCUUGAGUACAGUAGAGGUGGGCGGAAGUCGUGGUGUAGCGGUGAAAUGCUUAGAUAUCACGAAGAACUCCGAUUGCGAAGGCAGCUCACUGGACUGCAACUGACACUGAUGCUCGAAAGUGUGGGUAUCAAACAGGAUUAGAUACCCCAGUAGUC